GGAUAUGAUAACAUUAUACAAAUAUAUUCAGGGCCAGUACAAGCCAUUAUCUGGAAAUCUAUUCAUAAACAGGGCUAUACACAGGACACGAGGUCACACAUGUGCUGGAAGAAAGGAGAUUUAAUCUAAAGCAAACAAAAGUUGUUUUUUUUUUAUAGUAAAAACGAUAAAGAUAUGGAAUUCUCUGCCUGAAGAGGUGGUUUUAUCAGAGUCCGUACAGAUGUUUAAACAGUAAUUGGAUAAAUACUUCCAAAAACAUAACAUACAGGGAUAUAAUUUCUAAUUAGUGGGCUAAUAAGCUGCUUGAUCCAAGGAAAUAUCGGACUGCCAUUUUGGGGUCAAGAAGGAAUUUUUUUCCUAGUUUGUUGUAAAAUUGGAAGCGCUUCAGACUGGGUUUUUUGCCUUCUUUUGGAUCAAAAGCAAAAACAUAAGAGGACG